AGAAAGAGGAAGUUUGGCAACAGAUGUUAUCUCAGGGCCAAUCUCUCCUGAAAAAAACGAAAGACCCCAACAUUUCAAAGAUGGCCCAGGGAAGGGUCUGGACUUCCUGGGUGUGGAGAGGGGUUCAGACAAUUGACUGGGCUCUGAAGGGGCAGGGAGACAUGAGCUGGGGUCUACUUAACCCAAGCGGAGCUUUCACCCAGAAAGUGUGAUUGUAGGUCUGUCCCUCUGAGGCUCACACAGGUGGCCCCUCAGAAGCCUGAGUACUCUUUGAGUGUGUCAGGGGUUGAACUGUGUCCCCCAAAUUCAUAUGCUGAAGUCCCAACACCCAGCACCUCAGAUUGUGACCUUAAUAGUAGAUAGUGUCUUCACAGAGGGAAUGAAGUUAAAAUGAGGUCGUUAGGGUGGGCCCUAAUCCAAUACAACUGGUGUCCUUAUAAAAAGGGGAAAUCUGGACUCAGGUAUGUAUACAGGGAGAACGCCCUGCGCUCACGAAGACGACCACCUACAGGCCUACGAGAGAGGCCCGGAACACAUCGUCCCUCUCAGCCCUCGGAGGGAGCCAACUCUGCCAACACCUCGAUUUCCCCCUCGAGCCCCCAGAAGUUAAGAGAAGAGAUUCAUGUUUAGCCACCCAGUCUGUGGGUCUUUUCAUGGCAGCCCUGUGACCCCAGCACAGAGGGCAGGACAAUGGCUGUGCUGAGCUGCUUUGGCCCCGAGUUGAGUGUUAAGGAAGAGCUAGGUGGUGACGGGGCUGUGUGUAAGGCUAACCGUGUGGGGCUGACCAGGGCCUGGGGGGCUCCUACACAGGUGUCUCAGGAUUGUGAGGCCCUAGGAGGCCUAAGAGAGCCUGAUCUGAUGGGCCCACUUGGUCAGCAAGGCUUGCUUCAGUCCCUCCUGAGGGUCUUAUCCUGUCUCAGGGGCAGACAGGCAUCGUCACCAGCUGCCCCUGCAGGGGCCUAUGUGGCAGUCUACAUAGGUCCCAGGUCUGGGGGGCCCACCUCAGGGGUCCUCAGGUAGUGCUGCGUCCUGAGCUAGGAGCCACGACAGAACCUUCUCUGGACUUUGGAGCUGAGGGGGUCCCCUUUCAAGAGGCCUGGUGGGCAUUCCCAGUACCUGGACCCCCACCUGGCUGACUUCAUUCUCAGAAGCUCCAGGAGAUUCCCAACCUGCUUUCCCAAAUCUGGACUCUCCCUCUGCCCCUCCCUUGUCUCAGGCUGAUGGGGUGGGGGGAAGAGGCCCUUUACUGGGCUCGGAGAUUCCCACCCCAGCUCAGAGAGUGGAGGGGCCAUGGCCAGGGACCCCCAGCGGAAGGGACAUGUCCUCCCCUUCCAGGACACUCAGACCUCUGUCUCCUUGUCUUUUCUUCCUUCUUUGUCUUCCCUCUGACUCUUUCUCUGUCAGACAAACACGGACACAGACACAGACACACACACACACACAGACACACACACACACACACACACAGAGUCAGCCCUGCAUCCUGCCCUAGGGCAGGCUCCAUCUUCCACCCUCCAUCCUCCAGAGGAAGGCCCUUCCUUCCUCUGCUCUUACAUCAGCUGGACCUCCUGGAGCAGAAACCUCAGCUGGAGCUGUGUGCCGGGAGGCCCUGGGGGAGGCCACAGCCCCUGGAAUCCUGAGCUGCCAUGAGCUGCUGCAAGAAAGAAGCUUAUACACUCACCUGAAGCCCUGAUUUUUGCGACUGCUGACCAGGGGACACACCAGAUCACCUGUCUCUGGGGACCAGCAGUGCUUAUGCUUGUGUUCCCACAGAGAUCCCGAGUCCCGGAUAAGAGUUGGAGAACUGAAGAGUGCGGGGAUGUAGACAAUUUCUGUGAUAAAAUCAAAGGUCAACCCCAAGGAGAUGCACAGUAGGUCCAGACGGUCCUAGUACAUGUGGAGUUGCAGAUCCUUCUGACUGUGCCGUGUGGGACGCCGCCUCAGCAUGGCCU